CAAUAGCGUAUAUUUAAGUUGUUGCAGUUAAAAAGCUCGUAGUUGGAUUUCGGAUGGGACUUGCCGGUCCGUCGUUUCGAUGUGCACUGGCCAGUCCUAUCUUGUUGUCGGGGACUAGCUCCUAGGCUUCACUGUCCGGGACUAGGAGCUGACGAGGUUACUUUGAGUAAAUUAGAGUGUUCAAAGCAAGCCUACGCUCUGAAUACAUUAGCAUGGAAUAACACGAUAGGACUCUGGCUUAUCUUGUUGGUCUGUGAGACCAGAGUAAUGAUUAAGAGGGACAGUCGGGGGCAUUCGUAUUUCAUUGUCAGAGGUGAAAUUCUUGGAUUUAUGAAAGACGAACUUCUGCGAAAGCAUUUGUCAAGGAUGUUUUCAUUAA
rnacentral:rRNA from 1 species